rnacentral:rRNA from 1 species
ACGGGAGGCAGCAGUGAGGAAUAUUGGUCAAUGGGCGGAAGCCUGAACCAGCCAAGUCGCGUGAAGGAAGACGGUAUUAUGUAUUGUAAACUUCUUUAGCAGUAGAGCAAUAACCCCCUUGCGAGGGGGGAUGAGAGUAUACUGAGAAUAAGCAUCGGCUAACUCCGUGCCAGCAGCCGCGGUAAUACGGAGGAUGCGAGCGUUAUCCGGAUUUAUUGGGUUUAAAGGGAGCGUAGGCCGUGCUUUAAGCGUGUUGUGAAAUGUAGGCGCCCAACGUCUGCACUGCAGCGCGAACUGGAGCACUUGAGUACGCAGGAAGUAGGCGGAAUUCGUCGUGUAGCGGUGAAAUGCUUAGAUAUGACGAAGAACUCCGAUUGGGAAGCCAGCUUACUGUAGCGCCACUGACGCUGAUGCUCGAAAGCGUGGGUAUCGAACAGGAUUAGAUACCCUGGUA